CCCAUAGGGCCCAUCGCCAAAUAUAAUACGCUGCAUCCGCGAGCACUCAGGUCGCCCGUUGUCUCGUUUGGAGAGUUAGUGAGCAAAGUCACAUAAUCAUCCAAGGGGCCACGGGCGCCACUGUGUAGCCGCUCCCGUACCGUAUUGCACGGAGGGAGGGGGGAAAGAAGAUGAUACCGAGUCACAUUUCGUNACAGACUACGUAGGCAACACAGGCAAAGCAUUAGAUCCCAAUAACAUCAUUGGGUCAUAUAAUGAUGAGAUGCAGUAAGGGCGGUUAGUUGCGCAAGGCACCGAGCCCGCCUYUACAAGCAAAUGUCAAGCAACUUAUGUGCCGACACGGUCAUUCUACCGUACAUCACCCCAUCGCCCAAAUGCGUGUCUAUCAUUAAGAUAGUGGUGCAAAGGGGUCAAAUGAAGCAGUUAACAGUUGAACUCCGC
rnacentral:misc_RNA from 1 species